UGAGGAAUAUUGCGCAAUGGGCGAAAGCCUGACGCAGCGACGCCGCGUGGGGGAAGAAGGUUUUCGGAUUGUAAACCCCUUUUAGGAGGAAAGAUGGGGUGGGUUUCCACCCGGACGGUACCUCCAGAAAAAGCCACGGCUAACUUCGUGCCAGCAGCCGCGGUAAUACGAAGGUGGCGAGCGUUGUUCGGAUUUACUGGGCGUAAAGAGCACGUAGGCGGUUUAGUAAGCCCCUUGGGAAAGCUAUGGGCUUAACCCAUAAAGGUCGAGGGGGACUGCUAAGCUAGAGGGCGGGAGAGGAGCGCGGAAUUUCCGGUGUAGCGGUGAAAUGCGUAGAUAUCGGGAAGAAGGCCGGUGGCGAAGGCGGCGCUCUGGAACGUCUCUGACGCUGAGGUGCGAAAGCGUGGGGAGCAAACAGG
rnacentral:rRNA from 1 species